rnacentral:tRNA from 1 species
GCCGGGGUGGUGGAAUGGCAGACACGGCGCACUCAAAAUGCGUUGCCGCAAGGCGUGCGGGUUCAAGUCCCGCCCUCGGCA